GCUGGGUGUUGUGGUGGGCCCCUGUAGUUCCAGCUACUUGGGAGGCUGAGGCAAGAGAAUUGCUAAAGUCCAAGAGUUAGGUUGCUGUGAGCUGUGAUGUCACAUCACUCUCCUGAGGGUGAUUUUUUUUUUUUUGAGACAGAGUCUUACUAUGUCACCCUCAGGAGAGUGCUGUGACAUCACAGCUUACAGCAACCUCAAAUUCUUGGGCUUAAGUGAUUCUCUUGCCUCAG
rnacentral:SRP_RNA from 1 species